GUGGGCUCUACCUCAUCCCUCACCUGACUCAGUGGUAAAAUGUGAUACGUGGAUGAAUAAUGCCUGACCCUGACUGAGCACUUAGAGCUACACAAAUUAGAUCAUGUUUCUAAAACCCACAGUGGAGCCUGGUCUUGGGGGUGACCUAUAUGCAUGAAAGUUAUAUUAUUAUGAAGUUUCAUUUGCAAGGAGAACAGCUACAUCAUGAUCAUUUCUUUCCCUAUUAGGUUAUGGCCAGCUGCUUCUUUAAAAAAAAAAAACAGGACUCUAUUAGACUCUGUAUUAAUGUAGGUUUUAGUUAAUAUUUUCCCCAAAUCUGAGCCACGUGUUCCCAUUAGGGUGCCAUGAAGGGAGAGCUCAUCAUAAAACCUAUAUCUUGAGGCUGGGGCAGCCACGCCCACCAUCUCGAAGGAGAGGCAUUAGUGGUGGUUAAUCACCUGUAAGGGCGCCUUCGUUCCUUUGCAGCUGCUGCUCCUUUUCCUAACAGCCACGCUCAUGCUUGGAGGCAUUCUUAAAGGUCAGCUGUUCCUCCCUCAGCAGCUUAAAAUUUCCACCACUCAUGGUCAGUUGUGUUUCCCCCCCGCCCCGCCGCAAAACUACUAUGGCCGCCCUUGAGCCAGACUACCUGUCCACCGCGCGCAGGGUAAAAAGUGUGGUAGGACAACUGCCGAAGGUCUGGACCCAUGAGCUAGUGCUGCUGUAAUGUUUUCGAGCUUGGAAAAAGUGCAGCAGCUCUGACAUAAAGGAAGAAAACUCUACCCACAAAGGUCAAGGUAUGAUUAUGCCAAUGGGUGGCUAAGGGCAAGUCAAAGAAAGAGUUUUUUGAGCACUGGCGGUCAAGAAGUAUGUGUGGAGUAGUUAUUCAUCCUGGAAACUGUCAUUCUGGCAUCUGUUGCCUCCUUGCGGAGAUCGCUACACAGGAAGACUGCAAAGCACGAGUUGACACCGCUGAGGGCAGCAGAAGCCUAUGCUUGGGCCAUCAAGUCUAAUCUGCUGAGACUUUCAAUCAAAACUGUGGCACCGUCAUUCGGACCUCAACAAAGUCACUUGAGUUUGAUUCAGAAGCACAUUAAUAAAGUAAGGCUGAGAAACAGGAAAGUAGUGUGGUUGGCAUCCCAGAAAAUCGAUAUCCAACAUUUGUAGGAGCUUUGAGGAGUGUGUACUUCGAGCAAGAGGCAAUCUUUGGUUGGAAAAGUCAGCAUUUCUAUCACCUCCUGGAGGCAGUUUGACAUUCCUCAUCUGGAACAGAAUGUUAUCCACUGAGAUGUGUUCCUUCCCACCUCCCCACUAUAAAGGUUGUUGUCAUUGUAAGUCAGAGGAAGACUGGAGAUCCAGAACUUGAGGGGGCCGCCAAUGCCUACAUCCGGUGCAGGAUCAGGUCAGUCACAUAUGUUAGGGUUCAUGUAUUCAAACAAGAAUGCCGUAACUACACGAGUUAGACUGGGAGCAGAGAGCCCUGGAGCAGAACCACCCUGGUGGAAAACAUGAGAUCUGGCAGCCGUCCAGUGAGGAGCCUGGAAUGACAGAGGAAGAUAUAUUUGUACACCACACUGCCGUGAACAAGAAGGAAUCCAGGAAGUGCCUUUGCGGUGUGGGAGUCGGAGAGGUGAUGGGGUUUGACGUUCAUGAAGGGGAGAGCCUGAGGAGGCAGCAAAUGUGGCAGGCCCUGGAGGUGGAGCUCCAGGACAAGGCAGGAAAAUACGCAACAGCAGCCCCUAACCAUUACGGAUGCCGCCCGGGUCGCAGGGGUCCACCCGCAGUU